rnacentral:lncRNA from 1 species
UUUGCCUUGAGAGAUCUGCACCUUUGAGAGAAAAGAAAGAGAAUCGGCCUUGAAACCAAAAAAAAGGAAGAAAAGAGAAAGGAAAAAGAAGAAAAAGGCUUGGAGGAGGCUCGGUCUUGGAAAAGAUUGGAGAAAAACUAAAAGGUUUUCUCUUGCAUGCCAUUGUUAGAGCUUGAAGGAGAAAGUGGAGGUUCGGCUUGGUGAUUCUAAGGUAAGAAAGGUGAAAGUUAUCAUUUUGUUUGAAUGCAUGCCUUGUGAAUCGAUUGUAAUGUGAGAUUGUGUUUGUGGUAGCAAGAAUUUUCAAGGAUUCAAAGAACCAAGUGCAUGCAUGUAAGUGGAUCUUAGAAGUAUGGUGAUUUUGAACAAGACAAAUGAUGGGUAAGUGUUUUAAUCUUGAGAUCAUAAAUGGAAAGGAAAAAAAAGAUGUGUAUUGAUUAUUUAUGCUUGUGGCGGCAAUGGUGACCGAGGACAUAAGGAGAUUGUGAGCUAUAUGUGAAAUUCAAGAUAAAAAUUGGAGGGUAAGCAUGGAAUGUGAGUACAUUAUGUUAUACUGGACUUGGUUGGUUGAAAGUUCAUAGAUUACAUGUUAGAUUAUUAUGAAUAACAAGGAUGAAAAAUGUGAAGCUAGAUUAAAGAUUCAUUGAUUAAAGUGCUACCUAUAUAUGUGUACAAUUAAGUAUAAUGAGUUUGAUUUGUUGCUAGGAAGUGUGUAAAUGAGAAAGGUUUGUCGUGGUGUCGUACCAGAGAGAUAACAAGUGAUCGUCAAGUAGAAUUAGCUAGAGUCACACCCGAACCGAUAGUGAUGUAGUGUCCCAUUAUUGUGAGGUGAGUAGGGGGUGUCUAUUAUAAAAACUCCAUAAACUAUAUAUCGAUAUAUGAUUAAUAAACGUACCGAUUUUCUUUAAGUGCGAUUGUGGACAGCAUGUGUUGUUAGCCUUGGUAGGUGAUUUUUAAAUGGAUUUGCUACUGAAUUAUAUUGUUAUUGUGGAAAGCAUGAGUUGGUAGAAUGCUAAGUACUUGUGAAUGUCAUGCUUUUAAAAUGUUUUUCAUAUAUAUAUAUAUAUAUAUAUAUAUAAAAACUAUAUGUAAAGGGUUUUAGAAAUCGGCAAACAAGCUAUUUAACAUAGUUUAUGUCAAAAGGUGCCUUAUUUGUUUGUGUGAUGUGCAUUCAUAAACAAAUUAUAUGUUCACCAUGCUGAUUUGAUACUUAAACCUCAUGCAAAGGUUUUACAUUAUAAAGUCUUACAAAGGGGUUUUAUCAUGUCACCAUGAUUUGUAUUUUGGAAAUAGAUUUAAAAUAAACGUUUAAGAACCCAAUUUGCUUUGAAAUGGUUUUGUCAAACCGGGAGAUUUGAGAGUAGGUCAAAUGUUACAUCAAGAUAGUGUGACCCUUGUGCACAAGUGAUCUCUAGCUAGAGAACCUUUGGGCGCCGACGGGUUGUUAGACAUGGCUAGGCCACGGUCUAUGAUAUAUAUACGUGGCAAGGCCACAGGUUGAUAUACGUGGCUAGGCCACAAGUUGAUACACGUGGUUGCGACCACAUGAUUUCUUCGAUGUCAACCAACAUCGUCAAGACUGCCAUGGUUGUGGGAAUCCGAUAGAGGGGGGCCUCCCAAAUGUUAUUACAUGGAAGCAGGUCCACAAAUUGAUUACUACAAUUAUGUAGCUGAGAGUGAUAUCUCUUUGGGUUUUCAAACAUGUAUUCUUUCGCAUGGUGAGAAUUACAAGUUUUUUCGCAGCUCCUUUAUUUAUACUAUGAUUUUGUAUUUAAUUCCUCGAGGAUGAGGUGAUUUGUGAGCUUAUGUAUUAGCUUUGAUAAUGCUUGAUUUCUAGGGAGCAUGUGUGUUUAUGCUGGAUUGAUUUAAGUAAAGAUGUUAAAUGAUUUCAAGGGUAGAAAUCUUUCACUUGCACUAGCUUUGAUACAUUGAUUGAAAUCAUUACUUUGCAUUAAAAUUCUUGGUUUUACUUGUAAGACACAAAUCUUCCUUUUGAGUUAAAUUGUUUAUAUAUACUCCUAUGUUUUUAAUAUUCAAAUCUUUUGUCCCGAGCUUGUUUCCCAUUUACGCCCUACUCACGGAGCCGAUGAUUACUAAGUCUGUGAGACUUACCCCUUUAUCUUCUUUUUUGCAGAUAAGUGAUCAGCUCAAGUGUAGUGCCCUAGCAUAUUUUGACUCGUUGCGACGUAGGUAAUGGCAUUUCUUAGACUUUCACUCCGAGUCGCUCUACUACAUAGGGGACGUGUUGUGUAAAACUGUUAGACUUAUGAAAAUUACUAGUUUAUCAUAAAUGUAUUGCUAAAAACCUUAAGGUUGUGUAAUGAAUUCUAAAUGUGAUGUUCAAAUUAUCUUGAAG